rnacentral:rRNA from 1 species
UACGUAGGGGGCGAGCGUUGUCCGGAUUUAUUGGGCGUAAAGAGCUCGUAGGCGGUUCCGUAAGUCGGAUGUGAAAACUCAGGGCUCAACCCGGAGACGCCAUCCGAUACUGCGGUGACUGGAGUCUGGUAGGGGAUCACGGAAUACCUGGUGUAGCGGUGAAAUGCGCAGAUAUCAGGUGGAACACCGAUGGCGAAGGCAGUGAUCUGGGCCAGUACUGACGCUGAGGAGCGAAAGCGUGGGGAGCAAACAGG